GACGAACGCUGGCGGCGUGCCUAAUACAUGCAAGUAGAACGCUGAAGAGAGGAGCUUGCUCUUCUUGGAUGAGUUGCGAACGGGUGAGUAACGCGUAGGUAACCUGCCUUGUAGCGGGGGAUAACUAUUGGAAACGAUAGCUAAUACCGCAUAACAAUGGAUGACACAUGUCAUUUAUUUGAAAGGGGCAAUUGCUCCACUACAAGAUGGACCUGCGUUGUAUUAGCUAGUAGGUGAGGUAAUGGCUCACCUAGGCGACGAUACAUAGCCGACCUGAGAGGUGGACCGGCCCACCUGGGACUGGACCACGGCCCAGCCUCCUACGGGGGGCAGCAGUAGGGAAUUUUCGGCAAUGGGGGCAACCCUGCCCGAGCAACGCCGCGGGAGUGAAGAAGGUUUUCGGAUCGUAAAGCUUUUUUGUAAGUCAAGAACGGGUUGGGGAGUGGAAAGUCCCACCUGUGGCGGUAGUUUCCCAGAAAGGGACGGCUAACUACGU
rnacentral:rRNA from 1 species